AAAAAAAAAACAAAACAAAAAAAAAAACAAAAAAAAAAAAAAGAAUUUUUAAAUGCGAAAAAAUAUUACUCCAUAUUAAUUAAACUGAAAACAUAAUUAUAUAUUUUGAAUUAUUUGCAGAAUCGCAUACUUGUUAUGUAUUAUUAUUUAAUAGUAGUAGAAAAAAGAAAAAAAGAAAUUAACAAAUUGAUUACGAAAAAAGUAACAGAAAUGAUAUGAUAAAAAACAUGAAUGGAGUUAUAUGUGACACAAUAUACAUUAUAGAAAAUGAAAUAAAUAUAUAUAAUGACAAAGACAUAAAAUUUGAAGAAUUUAGUAACUCAUGUACUACGCAUAAUAAUAAAUUUAAUAAUUUAGUCCAUUUAAUAUGUAAAGUUAAAAAUGUUAGAAAACAUGGGAGAAUGUUAUAUUUUUAUGAUACGAUUACUAUAAAAGAUAAGGAUAAUGACAGUAAUAAUUUAAUUUUUUUUAAAAAUCAUUGUUUAAUUAAUAAUAAUAAAAAUAAUAUAAAUAGUAAUAAAGAGAUUGGUGAGGGUGUUAAAAAGGAAAAAAUUUAUGUAAUUAAAAAUAAAGUUGAUAAACAAAUUAUUGCAGGAAAUAGUAACAUUCAGUUAGUAGUUCAUAAACAAUUUUACGCUGAUGAUGAAAAAUUUAAUUUAUACCAACAACAUUUAAUAUUGAGUAAAACAUAUGAAGAAAAAUAUAAAAAUGAAAAGGAAAUAUCAUUAAACAUGAGUCCUUGGUAUUACUCAAUAAAUUUAUGUAAGCAGUAUUAUAGAGAUUUAAAAGAAGAAAAAAGUAUUGAGCAUAUUAAAGAAAGUUGUAUUGAGAAAAGUGAAGUAAAUGAAGUAAACGAAGUAAAUGAAGUAAAGGAUGGUGAUAAUAAUAUAUCGUUAUUAUUACUGAAUGAAUAUAUAAAAUUUGAGAUUAUAAAUAAAAUUAUUAAAACAGACACAUUAGUAUACAUCAUUGGAUUGCCCGUUUUAACAAAUACACAAGAAAAAUCGAUAUUAGUAUUUGCUUCUUAUUUGUUACAAGUAAAUUACGAAUAUUUUAAUAUUAACCAAGUUUUAAAUUUGUUUGAAAAUAAUUAUUUUUCUAUGCUUACACUAUGCAAAAGUUUACGUGUUCAUGAUGCGUAUAUUUACAAUAUGUAUAAUAAACAAGAGGAGAACAAAAAAAAAAAACAGAUAAUGGAUAUUGUAUAUAAGAAUAAGGAUUAUACAAGUGUAAGUAAUCAAAAAAUGAAUAAUUUUGAAAUUUUUAUAAUAAAAAUAAUUAAUGUUUUACCAAAAUUAUUUGAAAUACAAGCAAGUGAUUUUAAAUAUGACA
rnacentral:lncRNA from 1 species